GACGAACGCUAGCGGCGUGCUUAACACAUGCAAGUCGAACGGGCCUUGUCCCCUUUUUUUUUGGGGGUGGGGUUAGUGGCGAACGGGUGAGUAACACGUGAGUAACCUGCCCCUCACUUCUGGAUAACCGCUUGAAAGGGUGGCUAAUACGGGGUGUUCUGGCCUGCUCGCAUGGGUGGGUUUGGAAAGAUUCGACCGGUUUUGGUUGUUUUGGUGGGGGAUGGGCUCGCGGCCUAUCAGCUUGUUGGUGGGGUGAUGGCCUGCCAAGGCUUUGACGGGUAGCCGGCCUGAGAGGGUGGGCGGUCACACUGGGACUGAGACACGGCCCAGACUCCUACGGGAGGCAGCAGUGGGGAAUAUUGCACAAUGGGCGCAAGCCUGAUGCAGCGACGCCGCGUGAGGGAUGGAGGCCUUCGGGUUGUGAACCUCUUUCGCCAGUGAAGAAGGUCCUGCUCUUUGUGGUGGGGUUGACGGUAGCGGGGUUAAUGAAGCGCCGGCUAACUACGUG
rnacentral:rRNA from 1 species